GUGGUCCGGUCUCGGAGUUUCUUGGUGAGGGAGCUGAUGGUGGAGUUGAGGUCUGAUUGUUGGGAGGAGAGCUGGUGGGCCGUGUGGGAUUGUUGUUCUUGUAGACGGUAAACCUGGGGUUUAAUAACUUGUUAUUCAUUUCAUUUUCAAGUUUAAAUGGUCGUUAGGGAAACAUUGUAACGCUGUGUGUGGUGUAUCGGAAUCAACGUUGAAAAAAAAAAAAGUUAAGAUAAGAGAGGUUGCCACACAUUUUCAAGUUGCAGGUAUUGUUUCAUGUUCACUGUUUAACACCCAACCCUACCUACCGUAAUAAAAGUUUUAUGAAAUCUAAUUUGACCAAUAUUUCAUCUCACAUAUUCAUGACCAAAAAAAUAAUUAAAUCAUAGCAAGGAAUUAAUUUUAUCAGAAUAUCGUUCCAAUUUGUUAUCUGCUAAAAUUAUAAUUUAUCUUCAUCUGUGGCCCUCUCUGGAACUUGUGUUUUUCAUUCGAUGGUUCUUUGACCUUGAUGUUCCUUUGUUCUUAUUAACGGUUUAUCGAUAACUGGAAUAUUGGUGUCGUCACGUGACAAUGGUCCGGAUAAUGAGUACACUACUGCUUCUCCUGAUGUUGGUGGUAGAAAUUGCUUCACUUAUUAAUUCAGAAGAUACACAGCCAGGAGAAUUUCCAUUCAUGGUUGUUGAAGAAAUGAGCGCAUCAGGUUGGAUAGACGGAAUGCUCUGUACAGGGACACCACCACUAGAAAAACAACGCUUCUGGCACGGAGACUCCGGAGGUCCACUAUUUGUCCGGGAUAACGGAACUUGGACCCUGGUAUCCCUGGUGAGCUGGAAUACUCCCCGGUGGGCUGGAAUUGAGGGGCUUUAUGACUAUGAUAUGAGUGUUGAUGUGCUGUUUUACGUUGACUGGAUUAGAAUGAACAUGGUUUAAUUUUUUAAUGAAAGUUUGGAUAGAGAGAACUUUGGUGAAAGCCGAGUAACUUUUCUGGCAGUGAUGAAGCUUGAAUUUGAAGGAGAUUAUAGUAUUAGUUAUACAGUCAUGACUGUAAUAUUUGUAUCUCGAUUCUCGCUGCCUGGGUUUAUAUUUAUCGGACAAAUUUUUAAAUUACAGGGGAGGAAAUGUUUCA